GGGUUGUGAGGUUAAGCGACUAAGCGUACACGGUGGAUGCCCUGGCAGUCAGAGGCGAUGAAGGACGUGCUAAUCUGCGAUAAGCGUCGGUGAGGUGAUAUGAACCGUUAUAACCGGCGAUUUCCGAAUGGGGAAACCCAGUGUGAUUCGUCACACUAUCAUUAACUGAAUCCAUAGGUUAAUGAGGCGAACCGGGGGAACUGAAACAUCUAAGUACCCCGAGGAAAA
rnacentral:rRNA from 1 species